rnacentral:lncRNA from 1 species
GUAUGUUCAAAUUCUAGCAAAAAUAGAAAAGGUAAACUGAGUGAAUAUAGUUACUUAGUAAUACUAGUGGGAGGUAAUAUGUAUCUGAUGGAAUAGUCGAUACACAUAAACUAGUUCAGACACCAAAGAUAUUAAGGAUGUAGUCUAACAGAAAAUAAAGGGUAUGAAACUCAUAGACCGAGGUUCAAAUUCUAAUAGAGAUAGAAAAGGCUCGGUGAAUU